AUGAAUUGACAGUUGGCCCUAAGUGGGAAGCUGAUUAUCAAAGCUCAACUUGAGGAAGAUAUCCGACGAUUCCCAUUCAUAAUGAAGACAUUACUUAGGAUGAAUUAGUGCUAAUGAUGCAGCGAAUAUUCAGAGGGAAACUUCUGAGUAGUGAUGAAGUUACAAUAAAGUAUAAUGAUGAAGAUGGAGAUCUUAUAACAAUUUUUGAUAGUUCUGACCUUUCCUUUGCAAUUCAGUGUAGUAGAAUACUGAAACUGACAUUAUUUGUUAAUGGCCAGCCAAGACCCCUUGAAUCAAGUCAGGUGAAAUAUCUUCGUCGAGAACUGAUAGACCUUUGAAAUAAAGUGAAUCGCUUAUUGGACAGCUUAGAAACACCUGGAGAACCAGGACCUUCCACCAGUAUUCCUGAAAAUGAUACCAUGGAUAGUAGGGAAGAAAAGCCUGCUGCUUCUGAUGCUCAGUCAACUCACAUUAUGGCAGCAAGUAUGGCAGUUUUUGAUUCUCUGAAAAAAAAAAAAAAAAAAAAGAUGAAAUCAACAAAAACGUCAUGCUAGCGUUUGGAUUAACAGAUGACCAGGUUUCAGGACCACCCAGUGCUGCUCCUACAAAAGACUGUUCCAGAACGCCUGACAGCAUUGCUUCUUCCUCCUCAGCAGCACACGCAGCAGCAGUUCAACCACAGCAACCUCCCUAUACAGGAGCUCAGCCCCAAGCAGGUCAGACUGGAGGUCAGAUGUACCAGCAGUACCAGCAGCAGGCUGGCUAUAGUGCACAGCAGCCUCAGGCCCCUCCUCAGCAGUAUGGCGUUCAGUACUCAGCUAGUUACAGCCAGCAGACUGGACCCCAACAACCUCAGCGGUACAGCCAACAGCCAACUUCCCAGGCACCAGCUCCUGCCUUUUCUGGCCAGCCACAACAACUGCCUGCUCAAUCACCACAGCAGUACCAGGCAAGCACCUACCCUCCACAAACUUAUACUACCCAAAUAUCUCAACCUCCUAACUAUACUGUUCCCCCUGGCUCUCAGCCUGGAAUGGCUCCAAGCCAACCUGGUGCUUACCAACCAAGACCAGGUUUUACCCCAUCUCCUGCAAGUACCACGACCCCUUCUGCCAGUGGGGCUAGCCCUUAUGCUCAUAACUGUCCUCCUUUUGGUCCAACCUGGACCUGGUUAUCGAUAAGGAGGUUCAGUCACACUAAUAAUGAUGGCUGAUUGCC